GCCGAGCUGAUUUGGGCAAGCUUCUAUCUUUCAGAUGGGCGUAGUGCACUCCUCUGUAAUGCGUAGGUCGUAGGUUCGAUUCCUAUUUCCGGCACCA
rnacentral:tRNA from 1 species